rnacentral:rRNA from 2 species
UUGGAGGGCAAGUCUGGUGCCAGCAGCCGCGGUAAUUCCAGCUCCAAUAGCGUAUAUUAAAGUUGUUGCAGUUAAAAAGCUCGUAGUUGAACUUCAGACCUGACCGGGCGGUCCGCCUAACGGUGUGUACUGUCUGGCCGGGCCUUACCUCUUGGUGAGCCGGCAUGCCCUUCACUGGGUGCGUCGGGGAACCAGGACCUUUACCUUGAGAAAAUUAGAGUGUUCAAAGCAGGCUUACGCCGGAAUACAUUAGCAUGGAAUAAUAAAAUAGGACGUGCGG